rnacentral:misc_RNA from 1 species
GGAAGGAUCAUUAACAGUUCCCAAAAGACCCUCUCACAAUGGAGUGUGUUUUGUUUUCUUUUACCCACAAAUGUUGUCAGUUUGGCCCCUAUAAUUGUUUUUAAUAACAAGGAAAUACAACUUUGAGCAACGGAUAACUAGGUUCUCGUAACGAUGAAGAACGCAGCGAACUGCGAUACGUAAUGCGAAUUGCAGAAUUCAGUGAAUCAUCGAAAUUUCGAACGCACUCUGCGCUCUGGGACUUGCGCCCAGAGCAUGCCUCUUUGAGAAUCGACCCAAACUAAAUCAAGCUCUUGAAGCUUGGAUGUUGAAUGUCAUGAACCAAUUUGGUCUAUGUCAUUUUAAGUGUGUCGCGAGCUCUAUCAGGCUCAUGCUUGACAGUUCCCUUUGCGAAAGCCGAUUGGUGAGGCUUGUUGGCAUUUUUCUUUGCUAUGAGCUUUUGAUUUUUUUGUUUCUAGUUUUUCUUUGAUCUAGUCGCGGGAGGGAUCUAACUCAUCCUUUGUCUGUUGCAGGAUCGGAGAGACUUUUGACGAGAAGAACGAGAGUUUUGUGCGUUGAGAUUUGCUGCUAAAGCAUAUGCUGAUUGGUGUUUGUAGCAUCGGUUUUUGAAUAGUCUUGUCGUGGACUGGUAAUAUAGUUUUGCGAUCCCAACCAAAUCUAAAUCUGUGUUUUAGAUCUCAAAUGAGGUAGGAGGACCCGCUGAAUUGAAGCAUCUCAAUAAGCGGAGGAAAGAAACUAACAAGGAUGCCCUCAGUAACGGCGAGUGAAGCGGGCAGAGCUCAGGAUUAAAAUCUGGCAGGUUCGUCCUGUCCGAAUUGUAGUCUAAGGCGGUCAUGUCAGCAGAGAAUCCUUACCUAAAUCCUUUGGAAUAGGGUGACAUAGAGGGUGAGAUCCCCGUCUAUGGCUUGGAAAUCUCCGCGUACGACAGGCUUGCUAAGAGUCGGGUUGUUUGGGAUUGCAGCCCUAAAUGGGAGGUAAAUUCCUUCUAAAGCUAAAUAUUUACGAGAGACCGAUAGCGAACAAGUACCGCGAGGGAAAGUUGAAAAGAACUUUGAAAAGAGAGUUAAACAGUGCUUGAAAUUGCUCAAAGGUAAGCGAUGGACAUCAGUCGGCGUUUGGUUACGAAGAAGCAUCGAGUGACUGCUCUCUUGAUUUGCGAAGAGCUUUACGGCCUUUUGCGAGUCUUGAUGAUGUAGUUGAUUGGUGUUCCAUUCCGUGGCUGAAUGCGCGUCAGGAUCAGUUGCUGUCUGCAGGAUACAGCUAGAGGAAGGUGACCAGAUGAGGCGUUUCGGCGCUUUGACUGGUGUUAUAGCCUCUGGGUUCUGGGCACUGCGGAUGCGACUGAGGCAAAUCAAUCUGACAACGUGCGUCUACUCUUCGGAGCGGACUAGACCGGCUAACUCUUGUGGUUCUGAUGGUACGUAGAGCAAUGCUGUGCGUAUUUUUGAAAGGGCUAUAAUGAGAUUGUUGGUUCAUAAGUGCGUUCAGUGAUUCUGACGAAAUGGUAUUCAUCGACCCGUCUUGAAACACGGACCAAGGAGUCUAACAUAUGUGCGAGUUUUUGGGUGUCAAACCCGUAAGGCGAAAUGAAAGUGAAGGUACCUCGUGUACUGAGGUGGGAUCCUGUGUCCAUUUCGGUGGAUAUGGGUGCACCAUCGACCGAUCUUUCACUUGUGGAAGAUUUGAGUAAGAGCAUAUCUGUUAGGACCCGAAAGGUGGUGAACUAUGCCUGAACAGGGCGAAGCCAGGGGAAACCCUGGUGGAGGCUCGUAGCGAUACUGACGUGCAAAUCGUUCGUCUGAUUUGGGUAUAGGGGCGAAAGACCAAUCGAACCACCUGGUUGCUGGUUCCCUC